rnacentral:rRNA from 1 species
GAUUAGAGUUUGAUCCUGGCUCAGAUUGAACGCUGGCGACAUGCCUUACACAUGCAAGUCGAACGGUAACAGGGAGCUUGCUCCGCUGACGAGUGGCGAACGGGUGAGUAAUGUAUCGGAACGUACCUUUCAGUGGGGGAUAACGUAGCGAAAGUUACGCUAAUACCGCAUAUUCUGUGAGCAGGAAAGCAGCGGAUCGCAAGACCUUGCGCUGAUUGAGCGGCCGAUAUCAGAUUAGCUAGUUGGUGAGGUAAAGGCUCACCAAGGCGACGAUCUGUAGCGGGUCUGAGAGGAUGAUCCGCCACACUGGAACUGAGACACGGUCCAGACUCCUACGGGAGGCAGCAGUGGGGAAUUUUGGACAAUGGGCGCAAGCCUGAUCCAGCAAUGCCGCGUGUGUGAAGAAGGCCUUCGGGUUGUAAAGCACUUUUGUCAGGAACGAAACAGUGUCCGCUAAUACCGGGCGCGAAUGACGGUACCGAA